rnacentral:rRNA from 1 species
AUGCAUCUCUCCACUGACUCUACCAAGCAGUCGCCGACAUUCGCCCCUCCUAGUGACCCUAUGGCGCAUCUCCUCCAUGAGAAAAGGAACCCUAAAUCCAAAUUGGCUGAGGGGAUUUCUGACUCGAUUCUGAGCCGCCUCGCUUCCUCGUCGGUGCUACCGCUCGAUGAUGAGGACCUUCUCCAGGAGAUCCUCCUCCACCUCCCUCCACAACCAUCCUCCCUCCCGCGCGCCUCGCUUGUUUGCCCAUGCCGGCGUAACAUCCUUUCCAACCACAAGUUUCUCCGCCGCUUUCGCAAGCAUCACCGGAAACCACCUCUGCUUGGCUUCUUUGCAAGGUGUUUAAUCAGUAAAGCGACCGUCUUCACUUCUGUCCUUAACUCGCCUGACUGCAUCCCUGCUGGUCGCUUUCUCGUGCCACACAGCCACAACCCGUUCAAGGAGUUGCGCUUCAUGGGAUGCCGCCAUGGCCUCGCUGUCCUAUUCGAAAUGUCACUACAUUCCCCCAUGCCAACGGGUUUGAUUGUGUGGGAUCCACUCAAUGGUCAACAACACAACCAUUUGACAAUGCCAUCAGGGCUCAAUGGUGACAAAUGGGAGUGUUGGAAUGCCACUGUGUUGUGCACUAAUGUCGAAGAUGGUCAUGUGCACGGUGAUUGCUUCUCGAGCCCGUUCAAAUUGGUCUUGAUCUUCAACAGAGACACAGAUGCUUCAACCUGCGUCUACGAAUCGAUAUCUGGUGUAUGGGGAGAUAUUGUCUCCGUGGAAACCAAGAAAGUAAUUUCUCCCUUGAGACCCAGCAUUCUGAUUGGAAAUGUACUUUACUGGUUGCUUGUUGGAGGUGAAGUCCUUGUGCAUGAUUUUGAAAGGCAGAGUCUUGGUCUGAUUGAGAAGCCAGCAGACACACAUAAUGGACAUGUCGAGCUUUCUUAUCAUCUCUUACGGAUAGAGGAUAAUGGACUUGGUAUGGCCAUUGUGUCAGAACUUACAAUUAAAUUAUGGGAGAGGAAAUCCAACUGUGAUGGUGUUGCUGAAGAAAAUUGCUCCACUGGAUGGGUUGUUUCCGCAGACAAUGCCUAG